AAGGUAACUUCUCAGAUUUUCGAUAUUGGAUUGAUACCUAGAAGAGUUAUCCAAAUUCUCCACCUUAGUUAUAUACUGAAAAGAAUUCUUGGGACCUGGCCAAUCGGUGCUCCUCAUUCUCAGACGGGUCGAGUGAAGGUCGAGAAUGAUGAUGAAGGGGCUAAUUUUUCAAGAACCUCUCAAUAUGGCCAACCGAUGGUCCUCAUCUCCAAACGAGUCGAGCAGAGACCAAGGAUGACAUUAGCAACCUACAAGAAUACUCCCAUAAAAUGGCCUUAUAUUAACCUCGGACGAACCCUCAUCGGUCUCCCCCCAAGUCACAUUGAUGAUCAAGAAAAGACAAUGUUACUGACUUGGCAAAGGCAAAAUUUGUUGCCAAGGACCGGUUUGGGACCUACCUCAUAUACUGUAACUUUGGAUAUAAUGACCAAGAAUCCCGACUUUACCGCUAGCUCGUUCUAUUGAUCGAUCCAAUGGACAUGUAGAAUAAAUAAAUGGCCAAUCUUGAAGAUUGAGAUCAUUCAGUACAAGAGAUAGUAAAGAAAUUUAUCUCAUUUAAAGAAGGUUCGUGCUUAUUUCAUUCAAAAAAAUUCAUUAUAAAUCAAUUUCAUUCAAAGAAAGUCUGUUCACAAUGAAAAAGAAAGCAAAAAAUACAAGUUUGACUGACAUCCUUAGGUGUGGCCUCGGUAGCA
rnacentral:lncRNA from 1 species